UACGAAGGGUGCAAGCGUUACUCGGAAUUACUGGGCGUAAAGCGUGCGUAGGUGGUUUGUUAAGUCUGAUGUGAAAGCCCUGGGCUCAACCUGGGAAUUGCAUUGGAUACUGGCAGGCUAGAGUGCGGUAGAGGGUAGUGGAAUUCCCGGUGUAGCAGUGAAAUGCGUAGAGAUCGGGAGGGACACCAGUGGCGAAGGCGACUACCUGGACCAGCACUGACACUGAGGCACGAAAGCGUGGGGAGCAAACAGG
rnacentral:rRNA from 1 species